rnacentral:rRNA from 1 species
UCUGUUUGAUCCUGGCUCAGAAUGAACGUUGGCGGCGUGGAUUAGGCAUGCAAGUCGCACGAGACACCAAUUAGCUUGCUAAGAGGUAGACAGUGGCGAAAGGGAGAGUAACGCGUGGUUAGUUGCCCUCGAGACCGGGACAGUGUUGGGAAACUGGCAGUAAUACCGGAUAACAUCUUCGGAUCAAAUGGUGUGAUUCCGCUCGAGGAUAUGACCGCGUACUAUUAGCUUGUUGGUGAGGUAAUGGCUCACCAAGGCUUCGAUGGUUACCGGGUGUGAGAGCAUGGCCCGGCUCACUGGGACUGAGACACUGCCCAGACACCUACGGGUGGCUGCAGUCGAGAAUCUUCGGCAAUGGACGAAAGUCUGACCGAGCGACGCCGCGUGCGGGAUGAAGGCCCUCGGGUUGUAAACCGCUGUCAGUAGUUAGGAAGUCCAUGAGAGUUAUCUCUCAUGGUUGACCGAUCUUCAGAGGAAGGACGGGCUAAGUUCGUGCCAGCAGCCGCGGUAAGACGAACCGUCCAAACGUUAUUCGGUAUCACUGGGCUUAAAGCGUGCGUAGGCGGCUUGGUAGGUGAGAUGUGAAAGCCCACGGCUCAACCGUGGAAUUGCGUUUCAAACCCCCAAGCUCGAGGAAGAUAGGGGUGAUGGGAACUUAUGGUGGAGCGGUGAAAUGCGUUGAUAUCAUAGGGAACACCGGUGGCGAAAGCGCAUCACUGGAUCUUUUCUGACGCUGAGGCACGAAAGCUAGGGUAGCGAACGGGAUUAGAUACCCCGGUAGUCCUAGCCGUAAACGAUGAACACUGGGUUGAGGGGACUUCCACAUCCUCUCGGCCGUAGCGAAAGCGUUAAGUGUUCCGCCUGGGGAGUAUGGUCGCAAGGCUGAAACUCAAAGGAAUUGACGGGGGCUCACACAAGCGGUGGAGCAUGUGGCUUAAUUCGAAGCAACGCGAAGAACCUUAUCCAGGGUUUGACAUGUAUGGAUUAACUCCUUGAAAGAGGAGCCACACCUUCGGGUGGAACAUACACAGGUGCUGCAUGGCUGUCGUCAGCUCGUGCUGUGAAGUGUCGGGUUAAGUCCCUCAACGAGCGCAACCCUUGUCGCUAGUUGCUAACAGGUAAUGCUGAGGACUCUAGCGAGACUGCCGGUGUUAAACCGGAGGAAGGUGGGGAUGACGUCAAGUCCUCAUGGCCUUUAUGCCCUGGGCUGCACACGUGCUACAAUGGUAGGUACAGAACGAUGCAAGACCGCGAGGUGGAGCAAAUCGCUAAAACCUGCCCCAGUUCGGAUUGGAGGCUGCAACUCGCCUCCAUGAAGUCGGAAUCGCUAGUAAUCGCGGAUCAGCUACGCCGCGGUGAAUACGUUCCUGAGCCUUGUACACACCGCCCGUCAAGUCAUGGAAGCUGGCAGCGCCCGAAGUCGCCCCGAUUCAGGGGUGCCCACGGUGAGGCUGGUGACUGGGACUAAGUCGUAACAAGGUAGCCGUCCCUAUAGUGAGUCGUA